rnacentral:rRNA from 1 species
AUUGAACGCUGGCGGCAGGCUUAACACAUGCAAGUCGAGCGAGCGGCGGACGGGUGAGUAAUGUCUGGGAAAGUGCCGGAUGGAGGGGGAUAACUACUGGAAACGGUAGCUAAUACCGCAUACCAUCAGAUGUGCCCAGAUGGGAUUAGCUGGUCGGUGGGGUAAAGGCUCACCUAGACCACGAUCCCUAGCUGGGCUGAGAGGAUGACCACCCACACGGGAAUUGAGCCACGGUCCAGACUCCUAGGGGAGGCAGCGGGGGGGAAUAUUGCACAAUGGGGGCAGGCCUGAUGCAGCCAGGCCGAGUGUGUGAAGCAGGCCUUCGGGUUUUAAAGCACUUUCAGCGAGGAGGCGUUACUCGCAGAAGAAGCACCGGCUAACUCCGUGCCAGCAGCCGCGGUAAUAC